rnacentral:rRNA from 1 species
CCUACGGGAGGCAGCAGUGGGGAAUAUUGCACAAUGGGGGAAACCCUGAUGCAGCGACGCAGCGUGAGUGAAGAAGGGUUUCGGCGCGUAAAGCUCUGUCAGCGGGGAAGAAACACGGGUCGCGAGAGCCGCGGACGGUACCCGACCAAGAAGCCCCGCCUAACUACGCGCCAGCAGCCGCGGUAAUACGGAGGAUGUGAGCGUUAUCCGGUUUUAUGGGGUUAAAAGGGUGCGCAGGCGGCGAGUUAAGUCUGCGGUAAAAUUUCGGGGCUAAACCCCGACAAGCCGUUGAAACUGGCUUGCUAGAGUGGGCGAGAAGUAUGCGGAAUGCGUGGUGUAGCGGUGAAAUGCAUAGAUAUCACGCAGAACUCCGAUUGCGAAGGCAGCAUACCGGCGCCCAACUGACGCUCAGGCACGAAAGCGUGGGUAUCGAACAGGAUUAGAUACCCCUGUAGUC